GGCGCUGUGGCUUAGUGGUUAACGCGCCUGUCUCGUAAACAGGAAAUUCUGGGUUCAAAUCCCAGCAGUGCCU